AUUCCAGCUCCAAUAGCGUAUAUUAAAGUUGUUGCGGUUAAAAAGCUCGUAGUUGGAUUUCUGCCGAGGAUGACCGGUCCGCCCUGUGGGUGUGCAUCUGGCUCAGCCUUGGCAUCUUCCUGAAGAACGUAGCUGCACUUGACUGUGUGGUGCGGUAUUUAGGACAUUUACUUUGAGGAAAUUAGAGUGUUUCAAGCAAGCGCACGCUUUGAAUACAUUAGCAUGGAAUAAUAAGAUAGGACUUUGGUGGUCUAUUUUGUUGGUUUGCACACCAAGGUAAUGAUUAAUAGGGACAGUUGGGGGUAACCGUAUUUCGUAGUCAGAGGUGAAAUUCUUGGAUUUACGAAAGACGAACUACUGCGAAAGCAUUUACCAAGGAUGUUUUCAUCG
rnacentral:rRNA from 1 species